rnacentral:rRNA from 1 species
AACGAACGCUGGCGGCGUGCCUAACACAUGCAAGUCGCGCGAGAAAAGGGCUUCGGCUCCUAGUAAAGCGGCGCACGGGUGCGUAACACGUGGGUAAUCUGCCUUUGGGAC